rnacentral:tRNA from 1 species
UCCCCAGUGGUCCAGUGGUUAAGAUUCAGCACUUUCACUGUUGUGACCUGGGUUCAAUCCCUGGUUGGGGAA